AAGGCUUCCACCACCAUUAUCCAAUAAUCCCUCCCAUCUACAAGAAACCUCUUCCGCCACCGUCCCCGGUGUACAAGCCCCCUCCAGUUCCCGUAAACCCACCUGUUCCAAUCUAUAAACCUCCACCAGUUCCAGUCUAUAAACCUCCUCCAGUUCCAGUAAAACCACUUCCUCCACCUGUUCCAAUCUACAAACCUCCACCAGUUGAAAAACCACAUCCUCCACCUGUUCCAGUCUAUAAACCUCCACCAGUUCCAGUAUACAAGAAACCAUGUCCUCCACCAGUUCCAGUCUAUAAAUCUCCUCCGGUUCCAGUAUACAAGAAACCGCAUCCUCCUCCAGUUCCAGUCUAUAAGAAACCACAUCCACCUCCAGUUCCAGUAUACAAGAAACCAUGUCCUCCCCCAGUUCCAGUCUAUAAAUCUCCUCCAGUUCCGGAACCACAUCCUCCGCCAGUUCCAGUCCAUAAGCCUCCUCCAGUUCCGGUAUACAAGAAACGAGUCCCUCCUCCGGUUCCAAUCUACAAGCCCCCUCCAGUUCCUGUAUACAACAAACCACUACCUCCCCCGGUUCCAGUGUAUACGAAGCCACUUCCACCACCUGUUCCAACCUACAAACCAAAACCCCUCCCUCCCAUUCCUUACAAGCCACUCCCUCCACUUCCCAAGAUCCCUCCAUUCCCUAAGAAGCCAUGCCCUCCCCUUCCUAAGCUACCCCCUCUUCCCAAGAUUCCUCCCAAGUAUUUCCACCACCACCCUCCCCUUCCUAAGCUACCUCCUCUCCCUAAGAUUCCUCCCAAGUAUUUCCACCACCAUCCCAAGUUCGGAAAAUGGC
rnacentral:lncRNA from 1 species